rnacentral:misc_RNA from 1 species
CCAGUCGUCACACGGACUCACGCUUUUCUCUGUCGACUUCGAGCACCUGUACACGCUUGGCAGCACACCGGCACACAAGCCAUGGAGGUGAUUGCCACGGCGCACGGCGGGCCUGAGGUGCUCACGGUUCGUCCGUCCUCGCACACUCCUGACGCAACGCAGCUGGAGGGGGGUCAGGUGCUGGUGCGCAACGCCUACGCUGGCGUGAACUUCAUUGACACCUACUUCCUUAGCGGCCUUUAUAAGAAGCCGGCAAUGCCGUACGUCGUGGGCGAGGAGGGCGCAGGUGCAGUCGUCAAGGUCGGCGCCGGUGUGCCGGAGACGAUGCUCGGAAAGCGUGUCGCCUAUUUUGGUGGUGCCGGCUGCACUGGCAGCUACGCCGCCUUCACAGUGGCGCCAGCGUCUGCGCUGCGUGAAGUGCCGGAUGAGGUGACGGACGCGGAGGCGGCGGCAGUGAUGUGCCAAGGCCUGACGGCGCACUAUCUGGUGGACUCCAGCUACCCGUGCGGCCCGGGCUCGACGGUGGCAGUGCACGCUGCCGCCGGUGGGACGGGGCUUCUUGUGUGCCAGAUGGCGAAGCUGCGCGGAGCGCGCGUGAUCGGCCUCUGUGGCGGCGCGGAGAAGGCGACGCUGGCGAGGUCGGUAGGCCGCGCGGACGUGGUGAUCGACUACGUGGCGACGCCGGAUUGGGCGCCGCUGGUGCGCGCGGCCGCGCCGCAGGGCGUCGACGCAGUGUACGACGGUGUGGGCCAGGCGACCUUUGCCGGCAGCCUAUCGGUGCUGCGGCCGCGCGGCUACAUGAUCACCUUCGGCAACGCGAGCGGCGCUGUGCCGCCAGUUUCGCCAAUGGAGCUGUCGCGCGCGGGCAGCGUGUACCUGCAGCGGCCGACGCUGGGCGACUUUAUGCGCACUCCCGAGGAAGUGCAGCGCCGCACCUCCGAGGUGUUUGGGUGGGUGGCGUCGAAGCAGGUGCAGCUGACGAUCGGCCAUGAGUACCCGUUGCAUGAAGCGGCACAGGCGCUCACGGACCUGCAGUCGCGCAAGACAACGGGCAAGCUGCUGUUGAAGUGCAUUGACUGAGAAGAAGCGGAUGCAGUAGGUGUGUGUGUGCGUGUGUGCGCGCGCGCUCAAAG